rnacentral:miRNA from 1 species
ACUUAUUUUGGAUCGGAGGGA